ACCGAGUUCAGAGGGGAUAGGAUAACCAAGCUGAAGCAGGAUCUUGCUAAUGGUUACCUCAAUUUGUCAAUGUGUUGAAAAUGCCCCUACGAGGUCCGACAGUUAAUGAAGAAGCACUUCACUAAUUUCAAAGCAGCAAAAGAUAAAGCUACCCAGAGAGAGCACUAGUGGAUCGUCGAGCAGUAGAGCUACCUUCCUACCACUUCAGGUAUCAGAUGAAAGCUCUAUUCCAGUUGAUGAGGAGAUAGAUCGAGGCUACCAUCUCGAUAAGCCUGAAUGACCAAAGGUAGUAGCAAAAGGUGGUCAUGCCUAUGGCUUGAUUGGGACCCUUAUAGAACAAGUCGGGCUCUGGUUUUGGGACCAACGGGGUAGAGAGAGUUUAGGAGGGCCUUGAUCAGGAAGACUGUCAGCAGAGGUGGGAGGGGCAUAUCAUCUAUGCUAGGAGCAUUCGGUAGCAGGGACCACAAGAAGUCCUCCGAAAAGAUACCACUACGGGCCACUAUCCACGAUUUUGAUCCACAUGCCUUCCCUAUUAGGGAUGCGAAGCAGCAAGGGAUUGAUACCAUACUGGUGAAGGAUAAAAAGAAACACAUGCGUAGAGCAAUUGCAUUCAGGUUCUACUUCAGCCACAUUCCAACUAACACGACAUGCCAUAUACUAUCAGACAACCAGCAGAACAAGGUGUGGAUCCUCCAGAACCAAAGGAUAUGCUGAGCUCGUUAACAACAACGAGGAGCUCGAGAACUGGAUAACAUCAUAUAAAAGCAAGAUGGGCACCUAUGGACUGAUAGUGAUGUGUGAUAGGUGGACGAGUCCCAAGAGGUGAAGCAUCAUCAAAUUUCUAACAUAUUAUGACAUAAAGACCCUCCACAAAUCAAUUGAUGCUUCAGAUAACGUGCCGAUGCACAGUACAUUUUGAAACUAAUGGAGGACGUGAUAGAUCAUGUGGGAGAGCAGAACGUCACGCCGAUGGUCACUGAUAAUAGGCCACAGUAUAAGGCUACAUCAGAUGUUUGUUAGUGCUGAGUGGCAGCAGAGUGGAUAUGCUUGGGUCGGCACUGAGGGGAGCCGCUUGAAGAGCAUGGUGACGAGCCAGCAGUUCUAGAAGCAAGCCGAGAGAAUUGUGAAGGCUAUCAAGCCUUAAGAUGAUGUGCUUUGGGCCGUCAAUCGUGAAAGGUACCCGCAGAUGGGCUUUCUUUAUCAUAUGAUGAUGGUUGCCAAGAAGCAGAUUAGGUAGGCAGAUCCAGUGAAUGCCUACGAGUAAGUAAACAUCAUUAAGCAGAGGUGGGACUACCGGAUAUCUAGGAAACUGCAUCAUGCAAGUAAGAGUAUACGAAGCUAGCAAUAUUGGUUGUCACUAUCCUCUGGUUAGCAAUCAACUACGGAGCUAGCAACUCGCAAGCCAUAAUUUAUUGAACAUAGUAUAACAUUGUGUGCCAUAUCUUUUUUGCACAACAAAACUAUUUAAGGAGAGUUUCUGCAGCUUCGAUGAACGAGUAGUUGUGCUCAAC
rnacentral:lncRNA from 1 species